rnacentral:rRNA from 1 species
CCGACGGGAGGCAGCAGUGAGGAAUAUUGGUCAAUUUUAUAAAUCCUGAACCAUCCAAUUAUCUUUCCUUAUUACUUCCCUCCUUUUUUUCCCCUUCUUUUAUACUGGAAUAACGCGCCUUACGUGUAGGGCUUUGCAUGUACCGUAUGAAUAAGGACCGGCUAAUUCCGUGCCAGCAGCCGCGGUAAUACGGAAGGUCCGGGCGUUAUCCGGAUUUAUUGGGUUUAAAGGGAGCGUAGGCCGCAUGUCAAGCGUGCUGUGAAAUGUCCGGGCUCAACCCGGGCCUUGCAGCGCGAACUGGCGUGCUUGAGUCCGCGGAAAGCAGGCGGAAUUCGUCGUGUAGCGGUGAAAUGCUUAGAUAUGACGAAGAACCCCGAUUGCGAAGGCAGCUUGCUGCAGCGGAACUGACGCUGAUGCUCGAAAGCGCGGGUAUCGAACAGGAUUAGAUACCCCAGUAGUC